rnacentral:lncRNA from 1 species
GGUAUGGAGGAGGGCUCAUGUUUCUCUGCUGUGGCCACUGUGGCUUCUUUCCCCAUACUUGAGAGAGAUCUGUUUGAGCUAUCCCACAGGGACAUCGGCUCCAGCCUCUGCUGCACAUUUCCCAACUCCUCAGAGAAGCAGUUGAAGACUGUACUGAUGGGUCUCAUCGAAAUCCCUUUGAGAGCUGGUUUUUGUUUGUUCACUUUGGAGGAUGGGUUGAUCUGGCUGUGGAGGAGUUGCUGCUCAGGGAGGAAGCUGAGCCUCCUGCAGGCCUUCUGUGGCUCUUGGUCUUCUAUUACAGCCCACAGGACAGGAGUCAGCAGAGAGAGCAGAGCAUGGUGGAGUUGAAGGUAUUAGUCAACCGUCUCCUGAAGCUGCUCAG